CUCCUGUCGUCUCCAGGCAUCACAGCAGCUCUGACCUCUAACCUGGCCUGGGCCUUUCAUAUCCCCUCAGGCUGCAGAAAGCUUCUCUCAACCACUCUGGGCACCAGGAGCACGUCCCCUUCAGGGAUGUUCGGAUGAAGAAGGCAUUCUUGGAGCCAAGCUUUGCCCCAUCCGCACCUGUGGAAUGGAGAUGUAGCCCCAAGGUGCAGAGCUGGACCAGCCAAGUGCCUGGCACGUGGUAAGCAUUCCACAGACAUAUGUUGAAGGAAUGAACAUGUGACUCCAGGAAUGAAUGAAGGAACGCGGAAUUAAAAGGUGAUUUCAUCAGAUACUGCUCUGUGCUGUUCUGUAAUAUUUGCAAGGGUGACUCUGACCCUCCCGUUGAAGUUAUAAACUGCCAUCGAGACACAGUAAGAAUUCUGCAUCUUAUGUCUCCAUCACUACCACUAAAAGGCAUCCAGUUAUAGGCAUAAAUGCUCAAAGGAGCAUCUGAGUUCUUUGCUAAUACUUCUCUCACCCUCUAUUCUCCAUUUUUUACUUAUCUUCCACACCAAUGGAAGGAUUAUACCCCAGUCUGACUAUUAGAUGAUGAACCUGUCUUUUGUUUUUUCUGUUAUCAGGACUUACUCUUUGCUGAGGGCCCAAUAAAUAAAUGAAUAAAUAAAAAAGUAUAUCUGGA
rnacentral:lncRNA from 1 species